rnacentral:ncRNA from 1 species
AGGUCUGGCGCACCAGCGGGUCCGAGAAGUCAGAGAGCCGGAACGGAUCGAAAUAGCCACCUGGAUUGGCGGUCAUCCAGGCAUAGAUGCGCGCCGAGCCGAGCCACUGCAGGAACACGUAGCAGGCUUCCGGAUUCUUCGCCUGCGCGGAAACCGACGCCGACAGGUUGAGCCACAGCACCGAGCGGCUGAUCAGCUUGCCGUCGACCUCGCGGCCAGGCGG